GUUAUGCAAAAAGUUAUUGACUGAAUCUGGGAGUCAUGGUAUAGGUGGAAUUUAAGAUGGCAAUAUGUUUUUAUUUUUGUUUUUUUUGAGACAGAGUCUCCUUCUGUCGCCCAGGCUGGAGUGCAGUGGCACGAUCUCAGCUCACUGCAACCUCUGCCUUCCGGGUUCAAGUGAUUCUCCUGCCUCAGCCUCCUGAGUAGCUGGGAUUACAAGUGUGUGCCAUCACACUUGGCUAAUUUUUUAUGUUUUUGGUAGAGACGGGGUUUCGCCACAUUAGCCAGGCUGGUCUCAAACUCCUGACCUCAAGUGAUCCACCCACCUCAGCCUCCCAAAGUGCUGGGAUUACAGGCAUAAGCCACUGCGCCCAGCUGGCAAUGUAUUUUUAUGUGACGAGUAACAUAUAAAUGUUUAAUUCUCAAGAUAACUCAGUGGCUUUAUUGUGUCAGCAACUAAUAAGAGCUAUAAUUUACAGAGCUCUUGUUUUGUAUAAGAAAUCUAUACUAAUCACUUUAUAGGUGUACACGUUAAGAUAGCUAUGAUUGUUACCAUUUUACAGGUGGAACACUGAGGCCUAGAAUGGUUGAGGUACUUUCCCAAGCUUACUCAGCUGGUAAGUUUCAGAGUCAAAUUUUGAACUCAAAUUGCUUUAUUUGUAAGUCUUCUCUCCUAAAACCUACAUUGGCCAUAUUUCUUCAAGGUUACCUCUAUCAGUUAUAGCCCUAUAACUCUAAGCAGAAAUAGCCAUUUCUAGAUUAGAAAGUAUUUUGUGUUUUAAAUUGAUUUUCUUUAUGGACUUUCUUGUUUUCUAAAGACCAUGAACUACGUUAAAUCAAGUCAGCCUGAAGGCAAUCACAAUGGAAAUAUGAAUACCUCCUACAGCUUGUUUUCAAAUUCAGACACAAUUCAUAAGUAAAUUAACAGUGAAAUCAAGGUAUGCACGUGUCAUUUCCGUAUCUGCUCUUGGGUCUCUCCUUUACCUGUAUUGAAUUAAAGAUGAUCUCUGUUUCUGGGGCCUGGUUUGCCAGUUCAGACACCCAGCCAAAUUGCCCUCUCAUCUUCUCCACCAGAUAGGCGGUGUCCUCCAAGUGCUUCCGGGUCAUCUGGAGAAUCUGGCCAUACUGCUGAUUGGAUACAUUGACCAACCUGAUCGCCUCGUCUAAUUCUGUGUGCAGAGCAGGUACAUCAGGACAGUCUAGCAGAGAAGAAAGUAAUGUGGAGAAGGAAAAAGUCCAUGAAACUUGGAGGAGGAGUCAUGAAGAAUUAUUAAUAACUAUCUUUUAGAAGAGGGAGUUGAUAAGGGAUUCAUAAGGCAAAUGAAGAUAAUUCCAAGAGCUACUUUCCUGGACCUAUUCGCUUUCAACAGAUUCAGGAACUGAGGUCCAGAAAGACCAAGGUAGGAAAGAAAUAUGAGAACAAAAUGAACCUAUACUCAACAAAAAUAGCAUUAAUUAUCAAGAUAUUUCUGAUUCUUUUUAUUUCCGCUCUCCUUUUCCUGGUGUUCAUAAUUCAGUGUUAGCUAUUUUUCUAAUUUUGGCCCUUUAAACAAUCAUGACCAAUAAGGCCCAUCCAUGAAGGUUGCCACACGGAACUUGCUCAGUAAAUGUUGGUCAGUUACUAUUAUUAUUAGCUCUGCUACAGCUACCACAGAUUCAGUGGCUUGAAACAGCACAAAUUCAUUAUUGUUUGGUCUUUUAGGUCAGAAGUCUGAAGUGGGUCUCCCUAGGCUAAAAUCAAGAUG
ensembl:lncRNA TYMSOS TYMS opposite strand RNA